GCGGACUACACGGGUAUCUAAUCCUGUUUGCUACCCAUGCUUUCGAGCCUCAGCGUCAGUUGGUGCCCAGUAGGUCGCCUUCGCCACUGGUGUUCCUCCCGAUAUCUACGCAUUCCACCGCUACACCGGGAAUUCCACCUACCUCUGCACUACUCAAGGCCAGCAGUUUUGAAAGCAAUUUAUGGGUUGAGCCCAUAGUUUUCACUUCCAACUUGCCGGUCCGCCUGCGCUCCCUUUACACCCAGUAAUUCCGGACAACGCUUGCACCCUACGUAUUACCGCGGCUGCUGGCACGUAGUUAGCCGGUGCUUAUUCUUCAGGUACCGUCAUUUUCUUCCCUGCUGAUAGAAGUUUACAUACCGAGAUACUUCUUCCUUCACGCGGCGUCGCUGCAUCAGGG
rnacentral:misc_RNA from 1 species